rnacentral:snoRNA from 1 species
UUUGUAAAAAAAAAAAUCAAUAAAAUAUAUUUAAAAAAAAAAAGGUUGGAGAGAGCAGCCCUUAUUGGAGAAUAUCACAGGGCUGCAUGCACUACCCAACAUUC